CUUGAGUGAUUUAGUUGUAUGAACAUAGUUCUUCCUCUUGGAUAAGCUUUGUUUGUUUUUUUAAGGAUUUUUUUUAUUCCUCCAAUCAGGUUGCACAUUCAUCUGUAAAAAUAAAUGGAACCUCAUGGGUUUACGGCUCUAACAAUAUUCCUAGAAAUUCCAUAGCUGAUUUAUUUCGUUGAGAAAAAAAUUACUAGCUCGUUGGCCACAUCUGGAAAACUCUAGUUUUACUUUUAUAAUUUUUUAAAGUAAAAAGUAAAUUAAUUUAAAUUUGGCUAGAGACUAAAUCUAGGUCUAGAUCAAUUAUCGGUUUUGAAAAGACUAUGGCGUUCUUGAAAAGAUUAUCGCGUUGGGGCAUUUCGAAAUGAAGGCAUUAUUUAUUCAAGAGUAUAUUAAAUUAAAGUUUUGCGCAUCGUCUUCCAAGUCUAGAUUUAUUAAAGGCUUAUCAGUGGAAUAAUUCAAUAAUGAAAAAAAAACAUGGCGUAGGCACUAGUAGUCAGCAAUAGUGAGUAUAUUUACAAGUUUAUUGAAGUAUUAUCUAAGCUUUUCUAAUAUUUUAUUACGUAAAUGUUAUAUA